rnacentral:rRNA from 1 species
UACGGAGGAUGCGAGCGUUAUCCGGAUUUAUUGGGUUUAAAGGGUGCGUAGGUGGAAGAUUAAGUCCGCGGUGAAAGUUUGUCGCUCAACGAUAAGACUGCCGUUGAAACUGGUUUUCUUGAGUAGGGUUGAAGCAGGCGGAAUGCGUGGUGUAGCGGUGAAAUGCAUAGAUAUCACGCAGAACUCCGAUAGCGAAGGCAGCUUGCUAAUCCCCGACUGACACCGAAGCACGAAAGCGUGGGUAUCAAACAGGAUUAGAUACCCUGGUAGUCCACGCGGUAAACGAUGAUAACUAAGAGUUAGCGAUAGACAGUUAGCUCUACAGCGAAAGCGUUAAGUUAUCCACCUGGGGAGUACGCCGGCAACGGUGAAACUCAAAGGAAUUGACGGGGGCCCGCACAAGCGGAGGAACAUGUGGUUUAAUUCGAUGAUACGCGAGGAACCUUACCCGGGUUUGAACGCAGGAGGGAUGGGUGUGAAAGCGUCCAGUCAGCAAUGACUUCCUGCGAGGUGCUGCAUGGUUGUCGUCAGCUCGUGCCGUGAGGUGUCGGCUUAAGUGCCAUAACGAGCGCAACCCUUACCGUCCGUUGCCAUCAGGUAAAGCUGGGGACUCAGACGGGACUGCCGGCGUAAGCUGCGAGGAAGGUGUGGAUGACGUCAAAUCAGCACGGCCCUUACAUCCGGGGCGACACACGUGUUACAAUGGUGGGGACAGCGGGUCGCGAUCUGGUGACAGAGAGCCAAUCCACAAACCCCAUCUCAGUUCGGAUCGAAGUCUGCAACCCGACUUCGUGAAGCUGGAUUCGCUAGUAAUCGCGCAUCAGCCAUGGCGCGGUGAAUACGUUCCCGGGCCUU